AGAUUCCAAAAAACAUAAGAAUGGCCAUAUUGGGUCAAACCAAAAUUCUAUCUAUCCCAGUAUUCUGGCUUCCAGCUUUGGCCAAUGCCAGGUGCCCCAGAGAGAAUGAAUAGAUCAGGUAAUCAUCAAGUGACUCAUCCCCUGUCACCCAUUCCC